rnacentral:rRNA from 1 species
UACGUAGGGUGCGAGCGUUAAUCGGAAUUACUGGGCGUAAAGUGUGCGCAGGCGGCCGAGCAAGUCGAGUGUGAAAGCCCCGAGCUUAACUUGGGAACUGCGCUCGAAACUACUUGGCUGGAGUGUGGCAGAGGAAGGUGGAAUUCCACGUGUAGCGGUGAAAUGCGUAGAGAUGUGGAGGAACACCGAUGGCGAAGGCAGCCUUCUGGGCCAACACUGACGCUCAUGCACGAAAGCUAGGGGAGCAAACAGG